rnacentral:rRNA from 1 species
GGUUUAGCAAAUACUCUUAAAGCCGUUCUCAGUUCGGAUUGUAGGCUGCAACUCGCCUACAUGAAGUCGGAAUCGCUAGUAAUCGCGGAUCAGCAUGCCGCGGUGAAUACGUUCCCGGGCCUUGUACACACCGCCCGUCACACCAUGAGAGUUUGUAACACCCAAAGCCGGUGGGGUAACCUUUUGGAGCCAGCCGUCUAAGGUGGGACAGAUGAUUGGGGUGAAGUCGUAACAAGGUAAC